GUCCAUCCUGACUGCUUUACCACUCAAAAAACUUUCACCUUACAAAAACAAUUGGAGUUCAAGUGAAAUGUUUGUAUUCAUGGAAGCAACACACAUCUUUCGGAGGUGAUAGCUUCGAGAUGAUUUUAGCAGAUGAAUAGGGAAACAAGAUCCAUGCUACUUGCAAACUUAUCCGUCACUUCAGCUGGUGGUCAGUAUCAAACUACAAAACAUAAGUACAAGAUCAUAGCAGACAAUGUUCUGUUUUGAAAACCUUUACCAGUUGGUGUAAUAAGGUUAGUCUUUCACAGGUUCUCUCUUAUGGAAAAAUGUUGCUGGUUCAGAAAGCCAAGUUGUUAUUUGUGCAAUCAACGUAACAUCUUUAUUUUCAAACAUUCAUUUCAACGUAACA